GGAACGAGAAAAACCUUCAGCUUCUGCGUCAACAUACUGGAAAAGCAGCUGAAAAUAGGAAUAUAGCACCAGUUCAGAGCAAAUGUCAUCUCAAGGCAGAUGAUAAAACAGAGAGUUCUAAGCAUGUAGCUACAGUGGUAAGUAAGGACUCCAUAUUAACAAGAAAAACCUCUAGUAGAACCAUGCUCAGUAUAAGUGGCCAUCUGCUGUGAUUGGCUAGCUUUAGAGGGCAGAAAGUAAACAGAAAAAAAAAACACAGAAGCACCAGUCCAGGAGUAGUUUAUUUGGGAAAGAAUACAGCACACACCGUUAGUGACAUCACUAAUACCAUUAGUAGUUCCAUCUAAGAAACACAAUAAAACAAGAAAGCACUGAGCCAGUAGUAGUAUCAAUGGGAUAAGAAAAUUAAGAGUAAAUACCUGCAGCAAUAGCUCACUGGCAUUAUCCUUGAAAGAGACAGUUAAAGACAAAAUCCCUAGGCAGAGUGUAUCUUCUAUGAAAACAACAAGAAUGAGAACAUACACUUUAUUAGAUUAUGACACACAACACAAAUACACCACACAAAGGUUUCUAUUUACUGCUGCAAUUUCUAGUUAUGAUUAAAGUUCCUUGUCAGGUUAAACACAAUUUUGUGGCCUCACACAUUUAAGAUAAUAAAAGGAAUAGAAGUGUUGCACAUAUAUUUAUUCUGAACUUUUGUUAUUUUAUUUAGAGAGCACUCACAUGUUGCAUUUCUAAUUUAACAAAUAAAUAUUAAAAUCGUUUAGAAUUUCUUCCUUUAGGAAUUUCUUUCUUUAGGAAGUGGCAUAGAGAAACACUUUUAGAAU